UAGGGAAUUUUCGUCAAUGGGCGCAAGCCUGAACGAGCGAUGCCGCGUGAGUGAAGAAGGCCUUCGGGUCGUAAAGCUCUAUUGCGGGGGAAAAAAGGCAGCAUCAGGAAAUGGGUGCUGACUGAUGGUGCCCCGCCAGAAAGUCACGGCUAACUACGUGCC
rnacentral:rRNA from 1 species